CACCUCUUAAUUUGUUCUCUUUAUUUCCUUCUUCUCAAAGCUAAAAAACUUUCAACAUAUUCAUUUCUCUCUCUCUCUCCCUACUCAUUCUUUUUUCUUCUACUUGAAACUUUGAUUUUCAUCUUUUUUGUUUCUUAAUUGGUUUUUGCCUUUCUCUUGAUUCUUUGAAUCAUAUGAAGUUAUAUAAAAUGCUACCAAGGCAACUAUGAGUAUAACUUCACUUAUUUCCUCAUUAAUUUUCUCCAUCAAAGAAAUAGUUAUUGCAUUUCUCCUUCUUCUACUUCUCUCUCCUAAUUCCUAUUCCUUAAAUCCUAAACAUGAGACUCUAGACUCUACAAAGGAUGUGUUAGCUGAAGAGAAAUCAAGGUUGGGUUCAAUGCCACCGAGUUGUUACAAUAAGUGUAACCAAUGCCAUCCAUGCAUGGCCGUGCAGGUCAGUGAGGUACCUAAAAUUUAUCAAUUAAUUGUCAAUUGAUUUGUACAAGGAUUUGAAUUGGGGAUGUAUUUUUCUUUAAUUUAUUUCAAAUUAAUGUUAUAUUUUUCGUUUAUACCUAUAUACAUAUAAUUUAAUUAUUUUCACGAAUAAGCCGUGUUAGUUGACACCACUAGUGCAGGUACCAAGCCUACCGAGUCACAACGAAGUCGGACUAAGUGGCGAUGUGACUCGAACCCAGUCCAGCUCCAUGGACUACAAUACUCUAGAGUCCAACAGGUACUCCAAUUACAAGCCACUUGGAUGGAAAUGCAGAUGUGGUGGUCAUUUCUACAAUCCUUAGCUAUUAGCUAUACUUAAUUAGCUCAUGAGACCACUACAUAAUUAAUUGUCUAAUUGUAAAAAUUGUAGGAGUAAGAGUUACAAUUAACUUGUGGAGGAUGUAACCUUUUUGCCGCUGAUUAGAAUAUUAAUAAUUUUUUUAACUACAAUAUUUUGAAAAUUAGGGGAGGUGGGACAAUACAUUAAAUGAGGCUGUUAGGCAGCAUUUACUACGGUGUACAUGUUGAUAAUUAAUACUGACUUUUACAUAAGGCGUUGCAAAUGUAAUGAGGUAGGUUUUGACUAUGGAUCAUGCAUAAGAUUUUUGAUACCAUCUACUCAAUUUAAUCGGCUAUAGCACGUUAUUACUUUAUUUUUCGCAUUAUAACUAUCAUAUUGGAAACUUAAUAGGAAAUAUAUAUUAUUUGGUAUUAUGGGUGUAUUUGGUCGAAGGAAGGAUACUUUUAAUUGGAAAUAUUGACCUGAAAAGUAUGUGAUUUUCUUACUUGUUUGAUAUUUCGUAAGUAAACAAAAAAUAUUAUUUCAAAAGAUAUUCAUACAAAUUUUAUGCAAACACCAUGGGAUGAGGUGCGAGUAUGGGUGUGGCCUGUUGGGGUUGUGGGGAUGCGGAUACGGAGGAGAUAAAUUAGUAUGGAGUUUUGUUCAUCAGCAUAAAUACCAGAAUUGGGUCGAUGACCUUAUUCUAGCCGAUGUGGCUAGAGAGGAGACAAGAGGGGUAACAAGGAUGGAAGCAGCCACACCAACAAUGGUCUUGUAUGGAUAUCUAGGAAGCGUUGCUUUUAGUACCAGGCACAUGUAUGAGCAGUGUAAUUCCAACUGUUAUGGCAGCCCACAAAUUGGAUUCUAAUAUUACUUUCAUUUUUGGAUGAUUCUUUUUCCUUUGUUGGAUAGUCCUUUCUUAUCCUCUUGGGAUUUUCCUGGCCUUCUUUGUCAAUUCGUGCAGAAACUGUCACUGUAGAUGACCCCAUAUGCAUCUGUCAAUUUACCAAGAAAACCCUGAAUUUUUUGUGCAUGAAAAAGACAAAAGGUGAGGUUAUUAAUGUCAA